GAGGGUAGAGCUCAAGUGGUAGAGCACAUGCUUAGAAUGCAAGAGGUCCUGGGUUCAAUCCCCAGUACCUACU
rnacentral:tRNA from 1 species